AAGGGAGAGAGUGAGGACCUUCUUCGUGGUGUAAGUAGUUCUGCCGAAGACAAUUGACAUUAGCUACAUUGUCUGCGCAAUUCUACUUAAACCACUGAGACAGGACUAGCAGCGCUUCGAUC
rnacentral:precursor_RNA from 12 species